rnacentral:pre_miRNA from 1 species
AAAUCAGUUAUAGGGCACCUCUCUCCUGGCAGGUGAAGGGUCACCCUUUUUGCAGCUUCCAAAAGUCAGUGGCAAUAACUUGCCAAAGGAGAGUUGCCCUGUGGCUGUUUU